UUAUUUAGGGGAUUUUUGUGUGAUUUCUAUGCUUAAUUCGUGUUAAAUAUCAUUUUUAGGAUAUGAUUCUGGCCUUAUAUGAAUUUUGAUGGUAUUUAAUAGGUGUUGAAGAAAAGACAUGAUUUUGAGAAGAAUUUUGAAGCUCGGAGCUGUGAAGAAUACAAGCUGAAAUUCGAACUGAUUGGAAUUAUUGAAGUGGGAUGCACUUUGAUUUAUUUUGUGACUUUCAUACGCCACCUUUAGUUUCUUUAGUCUGUUAGUUUGGGCCCAUGCGCCAUUUAAGUUAGAUUAAAUUAGAUUAGUUUGUUUUUAGUGGGCUUUAUUUGUCCAAGGUUUUCACGCCACUUUA
rnacentral:lncRNA from 1 species